AUCAUCAUCAUCAUUGCCUUUUUCCCACUAUUUGGGGUUGGCUACACAAAUCAUGUUCCGCCAUUCUGCUCUAUCAAGGGCCAUACCCUCAGGGAAGCCAUAGGUCGCCAUAUCUUUUCUCACUACUUUCAACCAUGUGCUUUUGGGCCUACCCCUUGCCCUUUUUGAGCCUUUCACUUUCCCUUGCACUAUAGAGUACAUAAUAUAUAUUAUAUCAUACUAUUCGACUAUACUAUGCUUCUACAAUAUAUCAUCAUACUAUACCACAUUGUUAUACUAUACUACACGGUUAUACUAUAUUAUAAUGCUAGGAAAUCUAGAUCUUGUAUAACUCAGGACCUCAAUCCUUAAUAGG
rnacentral:lncRNA from 1 species